CCGGCACGGGUGAGUAACACGUAUCCAACCUGCCGCUACUCUUGGACAGCCUUCUGAAAGGAAGAUUAAUACAAGAUGGCAUCAUGAGUUCACAUGUUCACAUGAUUAAAGGUAUUCCGGUAGACGAUGGGGAUGCGUUCCAUUAGAUAGUAGGCGGGGUAACGGCCCACCUAGUCUUCGAUGGAUAGGGGUUCUGAGAGGAAGGUCCCCCACAUUGGAACUGAGACACGGUCCAA
rnacentral:rRNA from 1 species